rnacentral:rRNA from 1 species
AGAGUUGAUCAUGGCUCAGGAUGAACGCUGGCGGCGCGCCUAACACAUGCAAGUCGAACGGUUAAAGCCCCUUCGGGGGUGCAUAAAGUGGCGAACGGCUGAGUAACACGUGGGCAACCUGCCCCCCGCUUCGGGAUAGCCUCGGGAAACCGUGGGUAAUACCGGAUACUCCGCCCACCCCGCAUGGGGAGGGCGGGAAAGCGCAUACGGCGGGGGAUGGGCCCGCGGCCUGUUAGCUCGUUGGCGGGGUAACGGCCCACCAAGGCUAUUAUGGGUAGCCGGGUUGAGAGACCGACCGGCCAGAUUGGGACUGAGACACGGCCCAGACUCCUACGGGAGGCAGCAGUGGGGAAUCUUGCACAAUGGGCGAAAGCCUGAUGCAGCCGACGCCGCGUGCGGGAUGAAGGCCCUCGGGUUGUAAACCGCUUUCAGCAGGGACGAGGCGCAAGUGACGGUACCUGCAGAAGAAGCCCCGGCUAACUACGUGCCAGCAGCGGC